CCUACGGGCGGCAGCAGUGAGGAAUAUUGGUCAAUGGGCGCGAGCCUGAACCAGCCAAGUAGCGUGAAGGAUGACUGCCCUACGGGUUGUAAACUUCUUUUGUAAAGGAAUAGAGUGAGGCACGUGUGACUUUUUGUAUGUACUUUAUGAGUAAGGAUCGGAUCACUCCGUGCCAGCAGCCGCGGUAAUACGGAGGAUCCGAGCGUUAUCCGGAUUUAGUGGGUUUAAAGGGAGCGGAGAUGGGUUGUUAAGUCAGUUGUGAAAGUUUGCGGCUCAACCUUAAAAUUGCAAUUGAUACUGGCAGCCUUGAGUACAGUUGAGGUAGGCGGAAUUCGUGGUGUAGCGGUGAAAUGCUUAGAGAUCACGAAGAACUCCGAUUGCGAAGGCAGCCUACUAAACUGCCACUGACAUUGAUGCUCGAAAGUGUGGGUAGCAAACAGGAUUAGAUACCCCUGUAGUC
rnacentral:rRNA from 1 species